GCCUGGGUGGCUCAAUUGGUUGAGUGUCCUGACUCUUGAUUUCAGCUCAGAUCAUGAUCCCAGGGUCGUGGGAUCAAGCCCCACUUUGGGCU
rnacentral:tRNA from 1 species